rnacentral:tRNA from 1 species
GGCCCAUUCGUCUAUCGGCCAGGACGCAAGAUUUUCAUUCUUGAAAGAGCAGUUCGAUUCUGCUAUGGGCUACCC